rnacentral:lncRNA from 1 species
GGGGCCAAUUAUGAAAUAGGAUCAAAAUCACACCUUGAAGCAUAAAACCACAUGCCUAUAGCAAAUUGACUUUCUUUUAUUGAUCAAAGUAUAUAUAUAAAAAACCAAUUCUAUAGAGUUUUUACAAAAACUAAUAUUGAAGAAUUUAAGUGCGUAUUAAGUUAAGAUUGUUUUGGAUGGCUCUAUUUUGUAUUGAAUAAAAAAGAGAUUUCUUUCUAGUAAAUUGUAUAAGUUUUAUAGGAGAUCUAUAUGUAAACUUUGGUGGAUUUGUAAACAUAUUUGUAUUAAAUAUUUGUUGUGAAUUUG